rnacentral:lncRNA from 1 species
AAAAGGCUUUAAAAUUUUUUAUUGCAAUUUAAAACCUAGGGUUUUCACCCAUUUGAGCUUUGGAUCUUCAAACCAAUAGGGAUUAUUUAUAAAAGGGGUUUAUUGCAUAAUUAGGCAAUCCCAUAAUUAUUGGAUAAUUAUUUGGAGUUGAAAAACUAUUUUAUUUAAAUAGUUAUAUAGCCCUAAAGGCAUUUAUAGGGCAAAGGUAUUUUUAUAUAUUUUAUUUUGAGGGAAAUUACUCCCAAAAGUUGAAUCAUGAUAAAACAUGAUUUUACAAAUUUUCUGGAAUUUAUUUGGAUCAAUUUGGAGUUCAAAAUCAAAAGAUAUCAAAGAAAUCAGAAAUAGAAAAAAAAGGCUAAAAGAAAAAAAAGGGAGGAAACCGGACCGCCCCGGCCAGAUGGGCCGAACCGGCCCAGCUUCGCCCGCGCCCGAACCGGAUUGAGCCGGCCCCGCCGCACGCGCGCGCGCCGUGAGCUGCUGACAGGUGGGGCCCACCUGUCAGGCUUCGUCUUCCCCAA